UGCGUAGGCCGCGCGGAGGGUGGGAUGUGAAAUCCCCCGGCUCAACCGGGGAAUAGCGUCCCAAACCGCCGUGCUCGAGGGAGACAGAGGUGAGCGGAACUGAUGGUGGAGCGGUGAAAUGCGUUGAUAUCAUCAGGAACACCAGUUGCGAAAGCGGCUCACUGGGUCUUUCCUAACGCUGAGGCACGAAAGCUAGGGGAGCGAACA
rnacentral:rRNA from 1 species